UACGUAGGGGGCUAGCGUUGUCCGGAAUCAUUGGGCGUAAAGCGCGUGUAGGCGGCCCGGUAAGUCCGCUGUGAAAGUCGGGGGCUCAACCCUCGAAUGCCGGUGGAUACUGUCGGGCUAGAGUACGGAAGAGGCGAGUGGAAUUCCUGGUGUAGCGGUGAAAUGCGCAGAUAUCGGGAGGAACACCAGUGGCGAAGGCGGAACUCUGGGCCGGAACUGACGCUGAGGAGCGAAAGCGUGGGGAGCGAACAGG
rnacentral:rRNA from 1 species